CUGCGAGUUCGCGGGAGAGUAAGUUAUUGCCAGGGUUUUUUUUUUAUACUUUAAACAUUGAUUUUAUUUUUUAUGUUUUUAGAUGUUCAUGUUUUUGAAUGUUUUAUUCAAAUAAUAUAAAAAAUAAAAUAUAUAUUGACAUGGAUUAAACAAAGAUAUAUAUUAUUCUAUGUUGCAUAAACAAAUUGGCAAAAUAGAGAUGGAAGAUAAAAAUAUGGUCAAAGUAAUAAGAGUCUAUGGUGAAUGCCUAGGA
rnacentral:misc_RNA from 1 species